rnacentral:rRNA from 1 species
UGAUGCGCCAUGCCGCGUGUAUGAAGAAGGCCUUCGGGUUGUAAAGUACUUUCAGCGGGGAGAGGCACUGGUUAAUAACCACAGCAAUUGACGUUACCCGCAGAGAAGCACCGGCUAACUCCGUGCCAGCAGCCGCGGUAAUACGGAGGGUGCAAGCGUUAAUCGGAAUUACUGGGCGUAUACUGACGAGGAAAGGUCUGUCAAGUCGGAUGUGAAAUCCCCGGGCUCAACCUGGGAACUGCAUUCGAAACUGGCAGGCUAGAGUCUGUAGAGGGGGGUAGAAUUCCAGGUGUAGCGGUGAAAUGCGUAGAGAUCUGGAGGAAUAC